rnacentral:rRNA from 1 species
UACUGGGCGUAAGCGCACGCAGGCGGUCUGUCAAGUCGGAUGUGAAAUCCCCGGGCUCAACCUGGGAACUGCAUUCGAAACUGGCAGGCUAGAGUCUUGUAGAGGGGGGUAGAAUUCCAGGUGUAGCGGUGAAAUGCGUAGAGAUCUGGAGGAAUACCGGUGGCGAAGGCGGCCCCCUGGACAAAGACUGACGCUCAGGUGCGAAAGCGUGGGGAGCAAACAGGAUUAGAUACCCUGGUAGUCCACGCCGUAAACGAUGUCGACUUGGAGGUUGUGCCCUUGAGGCGUGGCUUCCGGAGCUAACGCGUUAAGUCGACCGCCUGGGGAGUACGGCCGCAAGGUUAAAACUCAAAUGAAUUGACGGGGGCCCGCACAAGCGGUGGAGCAUGUGGUUUAAUUCGAUGCAACGCGAAGAACCUUACCUACUCUUGACAUCCAGAGAACUUUCCAGAGAUGGAUUGGUGCCUUCGGGAACUCUGAGACAGGUGCUGCAUGGCUGUCGUCAGCUCGUGUUGUGAAAUGUUGGGUUAAGUCCCGCAACGAGCGCAACCCUUAUCCUUUGUUGCCAGCGGUUAGGCCGGGAACUCAAAGGAGACUGCCAGUGAUAAACUGGAGGA